AUACUUCUGAGGAGUCCCACAACAGGACGACACGGCCGUCCAGUGC
rfam:Schistosoma margrebowiei strain Zambia genome assembly, scaffold: SMRZ_scaffold0001451